AUGAACGCUGGCGGCGUGCCUAAUACAUGCCAGUCGAGCGAACAGACGAGGAGCUUGCUCCUCUGACGUUAGCGGCGGACGGGUGAAUAACACGUGGAUAACCUACCUAUAAGACUGGGAUAACUUCGGGAAACCGGAGCUAAUACCGGAUAAUAUAUUGAACCGCAUGGUUCAAUAGUGAAAGACGGUUUUGCUGUCACUUAUAGAUGGAUCCGCGCCGCAUUAGCUAGUUGGUAAGGUAACGGCUUACCAAGGCAACGAUGCGUAGCCGACCUGAGAGGGUGAUCGGCCACACUGGAACUGAGACACGGUCCAGACUCCUACGGGAGGCAGCAGUAGGGAAUCUUCCGCAAUGGGCGAAAGCUUGACGGAGCAACGCCGCGUGAGUGAUGAAGGUCUUCGGAUCGUAAAACUCUGUUAUUAGGGAAGAACAAAUGUGUAAGUAACUAUGCACGUCUUGACGGUACCUAAUCAGAAAGCCACGGCUAACUACGUG
rnacentral:rRNA from 1 species